GGACGAACGCUGGCGGCGUGCCUAACACAUGCAAGUCGAGCGGGACAUACGACGGAGUCAAAGUUUCGGAUGGAGACGAAGAUGUAUGUUCUAGCGGCGGACGGGUGAGUAACGCGUGAGCAACCUGUCCCUUACAGGGGGAUAACACAGCGAAAGUUGUACUAAUACCGCAUGAGACCACGGGAGGACAUCCUCCAGGGGUCAAAGGAGCAAUCCGGUAAGGGGUGGGCUCGCGUCCGAUUAGAUAGUUGGUGAGGUAACGGCCCACCAAGUCGACGAUCGGUAGCCGACCUGAGAGGGUGAUCGGCCACAUUGGGACUGAGACACGGCCCAAACUCCUACGGGAGGCAGCAGUGGGGAAUAUUGGGCAAUGGGGGGAAACCCUGACCCAGCAACGCCGCGUGAGGGAAGAAGGUUUUCGGAUCGUAAACCUCUGUCCUUGGUGAAGAGGAAGAGACGGUAGCCAAGGAGGAAGCCCCGGCUAACUACGUGCCAGCCGCAGC
rnacentral:rRNA from 1 species